UUUCACCCCGGCUGGUGGGCUGCCCAUCCUGGGCAGGGAAGGCCGGAUGGUGGUGCUAUCCCUGGUAUUAGGGCUUUCGGAACAGGAUGACUUUGCCAAUAUCCCUGACCUGCAAAACCCAGGAACCCAGCAGAACCAGAACGCUCAGGGGGACAAGAGGUACGAGCACGGGCGAGGCCUGCGGCAGCGGCAGCAGCGGCAGAGAAGGAGGCACGGAGAGGCCACCUGCCUCAGCCGGCCCCGACUGCUGGACGAGGUGGUGGUGUCUUCAGCAGAUGCUGGAGUAGGAGAAGCUCUCCAGCUGGUGUUGUCCCCUGACCACUUGAGUGGUGUCCCGUGGGUCUAUGAAGG
rnacentral:lncRNA from 1 species